GUCCCUGUAGAGCAAUGGAUAUCACGUUGGACUUUGAAUCCAACGGUCAUGGGUUCAAAUUCCACCUGGGAUG